rnacentral:rRNA from 1 species
CCUACGGGGGGCAGCAGUGGGGAAUAUUGGACAAUGGGGGGAACCCUGAUCCAGCCAUGCCGCGUGUGUGAAGAAGGCCCUCGGGUUGUAAAGCACUUUCAGUGAGGAAGAACGCCUGGUGGUUAAUACCCAUCAGGAAAGACAUCACUCACAGAAGAAGCACCGGCUAACUCCGUGCCAGCAGCCGCGGUAAUACGGAGGGUGCGAGAGUUAAUCGGAAUUACUGGGCGUAAAGCGCGCGUAGGUGGCUUGAUAAGCCGGUUGUGAAAGCCCCGGGCUCAACCUGGGAACGGCAUCCGGAACUGUCAAGCUAGAGUGCAGGAGAGGAAGGUAGAAUUCCCGGUGUAGCGGUGAAAUGCGUAGAGAUCGGGAGGAAUACCAGUGGCGAAGGCGGCCUUCUGGACUGACACUGACACUGAGGUGCGAAAGCGUGGGUAGCAAACAGGAUUAGAUACACCUGUAGUC